AUGCUGGGCCUCUCCUCCUCCAGACAUCCCCUGCCCCCGCCGCUGACCCUGGCCUGUCUGGCAGCCCAGACAACCUCCCCCUCCUCCUCGGCCCCCUCCCACUGGCACGGCUCACCCUUGACCCCUCAAAGCCCCGCAGCCCCAUCCCUGCCCCUCCCCCUCCCCUCCGGCCAGACGUUAACUCUUCCGCUGCCGCAGGCACUCCAAAGUCAGACAGUCUUCCUCCACCUCCCCCGAGGGCUCGGGCAGCUCGCCCCUAGUCUCCUCCAGCCAGGAUCCUACCAGCCCCAGCCCCCAUCUCUGUCCUCCCUCUUGAAUCUAGGAGGUGUCCCCAGAUUUCUCCAGCUUCUGGACCCCGGAAUUCAGGUCCCAGGCCCCCUCCUUCAAGGAUUCUGGAGUCUGAGCUCCCAGCCACCCCCCCCCCCCACCCCCAACUCCUCCUCCAAGAACCCAGAAAUCCAGGCCCCCGGGUGCUCCUCCCUCAGGGACCCAGGAGUCCAGGCCCCAGCCCCCCAACCUCCCUUUCCGCAGACUCACGGCUCCCGCGGCUCCCGCGUCGCAGGGAAGGGUCUUCUCCGCCGCCCCGGGCCCGUAGGCCGGGCCCCAACGCCGCCGAGCGCUCUCCAUCCUCUCCCCGCCUUCGCCGCCCGGCGGCCUCUCCCCUUCCUCCCGCUGUCCCCACCAUCCUCCUUCCCUUCUCCCCGACUCCCUCUGGCCGGCGCCUCCUCCCCGGCUCUGCGGCCCGGGGCUCCCCCUCCCCAGACCCCGCCGGCGGCGCGGCCGUGGGACCAGCCCCCUCCCCAGGGGGCCCCCCGCCCCGCCCCUCCCCACCGCCCAGCCCAGUCCGGCCUGGCUUCCCCCCUGCCCCGGAGCUGGCCCAGGUCCAGGGGAAAAAAUUCCAUCCAGCCCCGGGGAGGAGGAGCGGGGCGGAGGAGGGAGCGGGAGGGGGAGGCCGGGCCAGGGGAGCCUGACGCAGAGGAGGGAAGGGACAAAAGAGGCCGGGAGGCGGCGGCGGCCGGCGCUCCCGCCUCGCCCGCCCUCCUCCCUCGGCCAGUCUCGCUCCUCCCCGGCUUCCCUAGGUCCCCUCCGCCUCUCCGCCCUGUCCUGUCCCUCGCUGGCCUCCCUCCCUCUUCUCUCCUGCGCCUCCUCCUCCUCGCUCUGUGCGUGCUCUCUCGCUCUCUCGCUCCCUCUCUCCCUCCCUCCUCCCUCUCUCUCUUUCUCUCUCUCUCUCUCUCUCUCUCUCUCGCCCUCUUUCCCUCCUCCUCUCUGCUCCUGUCAUUCUUGGUUGCUUUUGCUACCUCUCUGUCUCUUUCCGUCUGUCCUCCCUUAUGUCUCUGCACAUCUGUCCUUCCUUUCGCCCUCUCCCGGUCUCCAUCCUCUUUCUCUGCCUGUGGGGCUUCUGUGUCUCCCAUUUAUUCUUCCCUUUUCUCUGUUUCUCUCCCUCCCUCCCUGUCUCUGUGUCUCUGUUCUUCCUCUCUCUCGCUUUCUCCUCCCCUCUCUCCCCCAACCAGUCAGGGUCUGCCCUUCUCUCUCUCCCCCUUCCUGCUCUCCCAGCUUCCCCCCCACCAGCUUUGGUCUCUCCACCCCCCCACCCCCACCCACUGGGGACUCAAAGGUGAAUCAGACCUGAAUCUGCCCUUGCAGAUGGAGCUCACAGUCUGA
rnacentral:lncRNA from 1 species